GUAUAGAAGUAAAGACUGAGGUAAAUUUAGGGUAGUUCCGCCCAUAGGACUUAUGUAACGGUGCGAUAACUCUGUUAUGCAUCUUUGCCAUCUUUUUAUUGGCUUCGUCAAUAAAAAUAAGUACUAAUAUGCGGAUGACAUACAACAGCAAUGCUGUCACUUCUGUUCAUUUCAUCUGUACAUUAAUUUGUUCAUAAAAUGACCGUGCGGCCAGAAGUUUCUCGUGCGCCACCUUAACAAGCCAUCUAUUUCUCCUUCACUUCUCUGCAUUUGACAAGAGUUGGCCUUCUAAGGGGCCCUGAACCACCUUUCUUUGGAGCCUCCCAAGCCGUCGAGUCCAACGGGAAGAAAAAAGUGGGCAAAGGUUUCGGCAUAGUGUUGAGCACUCUGUCGACGAUUUUGAGCAGCAAAGAAGCUGUCACCAUUUGUGUGGCAUGUGGCGUAAAAAGCGACAGAAAGAAGCUGCGAGCCUCCACUUUCAAAGCUGUAGAGAAGGCGGUCUUCAAGUAUUCUUUGGAUGCAAGUGCAAGCGGCACUACUGUGACAGGACCAGUGUUGCAAAGCAAAGUUAGAGACUUUGCGAGCAUUAUGGGGCACGACGAUUUUGUGGCGAGCGUCAGCUGGCUGCAGUGUUUCAAGGAGCGCCACGACAUCGUCGGCAGGGCUCUCACCGGGGAAGCGCAGUCUGCCGACCGUGAAGCUGCAGUGGCGUGGGUGAAGACAAACGUUGGACAGCUGCUAGAAAACUACAGUGCCAAGGAUUUGUUCAACGUGGAUGAGACAGCCCUGUUCUACCAGAUGCUGCCGCAAAAAACGUUGGCCCUCAAAGGUGAACGCUGUUAGGGUGGUAAGCAGUGCAAGGUCCAAGUAACCAUGUUGCUUUGUGCCAACAUAGAUUGAUUAGAAAAGGUGCUGGCCUUCGUGGUUGGCAAAAGUGAAUCCCCAUGAUGCUUCAAAGGCAAAUGAAAGCUCCAAGUGAGUUAUGUGUCUAACCGUAAGGCUUGGAUGGCGAGAGAAAUUUUUGCACAAUGGCUGUGGGAGUGGGACAAGCGGCUGGGCAAGCUGAACUGGAAGACAUGCCUCGUACUGGACAACUGCGCAGCCCACCACACCACCACUGUGCUCAAAAACAUUGAGCUAUGCUCCUCGCCACCAAACUGCACUGCAGUUGUGCAACCCCUCGACCAAGCAGUUAUCAUGAAUUUUAAGUCGGGCUACCGCAAGCGUGUCACCGACUGGAUUCUGCUUAAUAUGAGCAGGAAAGCACGAGUCCACGAUCACCUUGUACAUCGUUAUCAAGAUGCUACAGGCUGCUUGGAUGGCUGUACAGGCAAGCACGAUCGCAAAUUGCUUCCGGCAUGCCUCAUCUGCAGUCAGCAGCGACGGUUACAGCGAAGAUCUCAGUACUGCCACCACUGAAGGUGCCGCGGACGACCAAGCCCUAGUGUCGUGAGACACUCCCCUUGCUGCCGUUGUUGCGCCUGACUGCAACACCUUCUGCAUGUACAUCAGUGCUGAUGCUGACGCGGUGACGACGGAAGAGCUAACGGAGGCUGAAAUUGUGUGCGCGGUGCCGGGGUUGCCUAAUGACGACAGAGACAAAUGUGUUGAUGACAGCUCUGAGCCUAAUAUUGGCGAACCCGAUGUACUGACGCCUGUACAAGCGCUGGAUGCGGCAGAACUACUGCGCCACUUCUUUGGCGCUCACGAUGACGGCGAGGACGGACUCGCAAUAGCGGCUGCAACUGAAAAAGCCAUCAUUCACCUGAAGAAGACGCGGCAAAAUUCUAUCAAGGACUUUUUUUCUGUGAAGUGAGCUGCCAGCUGGUGUGCUGUUGAUCGAUCAGUGAUAAACCGUUUGGCAUGAAGAAAGUAGCAAUUCCUUGCUGCCUUUU